rnacentral:lncRNA from 1 species
CUGUAUUUGCAGGAUGGAAACUCUCCUCCAAAAACAUAUCAGACAGAAGACCCUUUCUUGUACAUUAAUGGCCUGAAUCUAGACACACCUUAUAACAUCAUAGUUACUGCAGUUAAUCAGAUUGGGGAGGGACUGCCAAGCAACACAGCAAGCAUAGUCCUUCAGUCACCACUUGUGAGUGAUGCAGUUAAAAUGUUUAAGCCCAAGCUGCUGACAAAUGAAGACCUUUCUAUCAGAACCUCGAGUAUCCUGCUGAAGGAGCCUGACUGUGGCGUGUUUGAGAAAGCUGCUAUGCAGAUACAGACCAUAUACCAAAAAAAUGUCUCUGUUGCAUUAGUGGUAGCUGAAAGCAGUGGUAUGUGCUUGACUCUGAAGGGGAAAUGUUGCUUGAUUGAUCUAAUGUCAUUCCCUUGGGUUUGUGCACUUCCCUGAGAGGCAUGAUAUUAGUUUGUGCAGUUAUUAAUCCUGUCCUAUGUUGCUAAAAUUGUAUCACACUGCAUUUUUUAGAGGUCUGACCCGACAUUUGUCUUUAGUAUCUAUAAGGGUAACUAAGAACUAAGAAUAUUAGAGCAUGUACGGUAGAUAUUGUAAAUAGUAAAUAUUGAAUUUGUGGCAUGUUCAUUAAAUGUCUUCAUUGAGAGAGUACAGUAGGUGCUGUACUGUACGCGUAUAUGCUCAUAUGCUUGUUUUUAUUUGGUCUUUAAUGCAUCUUUAUUAUAUUUUCCUUCUUUGGCUUCUCUGUUGUAGUACUCAAGGAGAACUUCACAGUGGGUGUGUCAGCUUUUGCAAACCUGACUUAUAAUGAGACAAAUAUUGGUAGCCUAGGCCCAUAUGUCUCUCUAUCCAACCUCUCACCAUAUGACUGCUACCAAGAGAUGAACAAGAGCAGGCUUCUUCAAAGGGACACUUCCAAGCUUUGUGGGUCAUCUGUGGAAGACUGUAGGAAUGCAGAGAAAAGAGACACUAAUGCAGACAUUAGAGCCAAUAUUGUGGGCUCCACCAAGAAAUGCAUAUCAGCCAGAGAUCUCUGCAAUGGGCCACUCCGCCCUGAGACAGGAUACAGGACAAGGUAUGUUCUUGUGGAUGACACUGGGAAAGCAGUGAUGAGCAGUAACUGGUCAGACACAUUCAAGACAAAACCAGAGCCGAUUCCAUACCAGACCAUACAGCCCUGGGACUCAGUGCACUCUGCUGGGAUGAUUGUCCUGGUUGUGAUAUUGGCAGUGCUCUUCUUUCUCCUCCUGCUGCUCUGUCUGUUCUGCUUGGUCUGCUGUAGGAAAAAGCCCAGGAAGGUAUACAAACAAGCAAAGGCAUACGACACCCACUAUACUAAAGACAUGCUGCACAACAGCCUGGCGACUGGACAAGUGGUCAGAGUGCACAGGGAGGUACAACAGGAGAAUGCCCCCUACUUCAUUCAGUCAAGAGAGGAGUACCAGAUGUCCAGCCAGACCUCUCCACAGCUCCAUAGACAUAAUUCAUUUUAUGCAUUCUUGGAGAACAUAAGGAACAGG